rnacentral:rRNA from 1 species
AUUGAACGCUGGCGGCAGGCCUAACACAUGCAAGUCGAACGGGUGGCGGACGGGUGAAUAGUGUCUUGGAAACUGCCUGAUGGAGGGGGAUAACGACGGGAAACGGUAGCUACUACCGCAUACCAUCAGAUGUGCCCAGAUGGGAUUAGCUAGUUGGUGGGGUAACGGCUCACCAAGGCGACGAGCCCUAGCUGGUCUGAGAGGAUGACCAGCCACACUGGAACUGAGACAAGGUCCAGACUCCUACGGGAGGCAGCAGUGGGGAAUAUUGCACAAUGGGCGCAAGCCUGACGCAGCAAUGCCGCGUGUAUGAAGAAGGUCUUCGGGUUGUAAAGUACUUUCGGCGGGGAGGCGUUACCUGCAGAAGAAGCACCGGCUAACUCCGUGCCAGCAGCCGCGGUAAUAC